rnacentral:rRNA from 1 species
GACAGAGGGUGCAAGCGUUAUCCGGAUUUACUGGGUUUAAAGGGUGCGCAGGCGGCUAUGUAAGUCAGUGGUGAAAUCUUCCCGCUUAACGGGAAAACUGCCAUUGAUACUAUAUAUCUUGAAUGCUGUGGAGGUAAGCAGAAUAUGUCAUGUAGCGGUGAAAUGCUUAGAGAUGACAUAGAAUACCGAUUGCGAAGGCAGCUUACUACGCAGAUAUUGACGCUCAUGCACGAAAGCGUGGGGAUCAAACAGG